UAGAGAUAGGAGCAGAGUAAAGACAAGGAGAAGGAGCGAGCAGCUGCCAGGGUUUUCGGUAGGCGUCCCUGACUGAGUCCUGGGCUGUAACGUAGGUGAGUGGUCAAGGCAGGCGUCCCUGCAGUAGAACGGACACCGAGGGAAGACGGUCUUCCUGACUCCGUGACUAACAAUGGAAUUUUUUAAAGAGACGGAGAGACUUGUCUCCUCUUCUGAUAGAGAA